CUUCUGCUUUCCCAGUCCGUAGCAGAGAGCUGGAUUGAAAGUGGAGCAGCCGGGACUCGAACCUGUGCCCCAUUUGGGAUGCCAGCACUGCAGGUGGUGGCUUCAUCCACUAUGCCACAGCGCUGGCCCCUAAACUGAUUCUUGACAAUAAUUUGUGAACUGAAAAAAUAUCAACCAUGCAACCACUGGUAAAUUUUCACCAAAUCAUUCACAUGACCAGUGAGCAGGACUAAAACAGUGGUCUUAUUGCACAGUGCAUAUGGCCAAUCUUAGAAUUCUCCCAUUAGUAUCUAUGUAGUUUCAGAUUCUUUUUGGGGUUGCCAGGUAAAAAUACAUUAGUAAUAUAAGUUAUCUUUACAAAAUCAUAUCAUCUGUAGUAUUUUAAGGCAUAUUUUACAAGCUUUAUAAUGAGUUUUUAUAAUUAAAUACUCAUUGGGGGUUCAUAAGAAAUGAUUUGGGGUAGCUAUUGCUAAAUGAUGUGUCCCUCAAUAUGCAUGUGUUGAAAUGUAAUACUCAAUGUGUUGUUAUUUAGGAGCAGGGGUGCUGGGAGGUGACUGGAUCAUGAGGGCAGAUCUUCUGAGAAUGCUAUCACUGCCCUUAUUUUUUUAAAAAAAGGUUUUAUUUACUUAUUUGAGAAGCAGAGUUACAGACAGAGAGAAGAAGGAACAGAGAGAAAAGACUUCCAUCUGCUGGUUCACUCCCCAAUUGGCCACCAUGGCCAGAGCUAAGCCAAUCAGAAACCAGGAACCAGUGUAUUCCAGGUCUCCCACAUGGGUACAGGGGUCCAAGGGCUUGGGCCAUCUUCCACUGGCACUGGUUUCCCAGGCCGCAGCAGAGAGUUGGAUCAGAAGUGGAGCAUUUGGUACUCAAACCCAUGCCAAUGUGGGAUGCCUACCUGAAGGUGGCUUUACCCACUACGCCACAGCACCCUUUUAAGAAUGGCUUGAUGGAGCAGCUUGUUUACCCCUUUGCAAUUCUGCCACAUGAGGGCACACAGACAUUAGCGAGCAAAGCUUCACCAGACACCAAGUCCCCUAACACUGUGAUCUUGGACUUAACAGCCUCCAAAAGAGUGAGUAAUAAAUUCCUGUUGUUUACAAACUUCUCAGUGUAAUGCGUUUUCUUACAGCAUCCCAACUCGACUAAAUGGAGUAAAUAAUCAGAAAAGUUUAGAAAUGGGUGGGCAUGAGGCACAGCAGGUUAAUCUGACAUUUGGGAUGUCAGCAUCCUGCAUCAACCUGCCUGGUAUGAGUCCCAGGUCCUCCAUGUCCAAUUCAGUUUCCUGGUAAUUUACCUGGGAGGCAACAAACAAUGGCCCAACAUUCCUGCCACCGACAUUGUAGACAGAGAUGUAGUUCCUGGCUCCUGGCUUCUGCCUGGCCCAGUCCUGGCUUUUGGGGGCAUUUGAGGAGUAAGUCAGCAGGUAGAAGAUCUCUCUUUGUGCCUCUUUCACUCUGUUGGCAAAUGAAUACAUAAACCUUAUGAAAAACAUUGAUGACAUGACUUUGGUAAAUGUUUCAUCAAGUAAGAAGUUUAAGAAUAAAACAUGGGGCUGGCACUGUGGUAUCACAUACAAGCUCUGGUUCAAAUCCUGGCUGUUCUACCUCUGAUACAGCUCCCUGCUAAUGCAUCUAGGAUAGUAGCAGAGGAUGGCCCAAGUGCUUGGGCCUCUGCACCCUUGUGGGUGACCCAGAAGAAGCUCUUGGCUCCUGGUUUCAUCGUGGAUGAACCCUGGCUGUUGUGGCCAUUUGUGGAGUGAAGUGAGCAGACGGAAGAUCUCUUUCCUUCUCUCUCUCCUUCUCUCUGUAUGUAACUGUGCCUUCCAAGAAAAUGAAGUAAAUCUUUAAAAAAUGUGAAAAUGUAUAGUACUGUAUUCAGUUAGAGUGGUGAGAGUGGAUGUCCUUGUGUUGUUACAGAUUUUGACAAAAUGCGUUCAUCUUCUCCUCAUUCACUAUAAUAUUGGCUGAUUCUUUGUCAAGUAUCACAUUUAUGUUUUUGAGGCAUGUUCCUUCUAUGCCUAAUUUGUGGAGGUUUUUUUUUUAUGCCAUGAAAGGGUAAUGAAUCAUAUCAAAUGCUUUCUCUGCAUCUAAUGAGAGUAUGGUUUUUAUUCUUUUAUUAUGUUGAUUAAUUUAUGAUAUUUAUUGUUUUGAAAAUAUGGGACCACCAUGGCAUUUCUGGGAUCAAUUCCGAUUGAUAGUUAUGUAUGAGUUUUUUGAUGUUUUCAAUUGUUUAUUUAGUACUCUGUUGAGAAUCUUUUUAUCUAUGUUCUUCAAGAAUAUACGCCUGUAGUAUUCUUUCCAUUUUGUGUCUUGGUUUGUUUUUGGCAUCAAAGGGAUGUUGGCCUCCUAAAAAGUGUUUGACAGUGUUCCAUCCUGUUCAGUGUUUCCAAAUAGUCUGAAGAUUGUUGGAGUUUAUCUUUAAAUGUUUUGUAGAAUUGGGUAGUAAAGCCAUCAAGUCAUGGGUUUUUUAUUGAUGGAAGAAUUUUGCUUACUGCUACAAUGCCAUUACUUUUUGUGAGUCUGUUAGAUUGUCUUUAUCUUCUGGAUUAAAUUUGGUAAGUUACUUGUAUUGAAAAACUUCUCCAUUUUUCUCAGUUUUCCAGUUUAUUAGCAUAUAGUAUUGAAUGGCAGUUUCUUUUGAAGCCUUGUAUUUCAGUAGUGUUGAUUAUACUGUCUGCUUUUUCAUCUAAUCUUAUUUAUUUGAGGUUUUGAGGUUUUUUUCUCUUUUUUUCUUUGUCAUUCUUGUUAGAGACUGAUUUAGUUUUUAAAAAUUUUAUGUGAGGUAAACAAAUUUCAUGUACUUGCCAUAUACAUAUUCAGGAACGUAUUGAUUCUUCACACCCAACGCUUCCUCUAGCCCAUGCUUCCAUACUUCUUCCUCUUCCCUCUCCUGUUUCCACUGUUAAUUCUAAUAGAAAAAUAUUUUCAGGUAACUUUAUACUCAUAAUAGUCACUAUUCACUAAGUAAAAAGUUCAACAAAUAGUAUGAAGAAAAUAAAUUGUUCCUCAAAGUGAGACAAGGCUUGUAAAAAAAAGCAUCAUAUCUCAAAAUACUCAUUUUAUUCCUACACAUUAUUACCUGUUAAAUACUCUCUUAGUCACCGCAGAUCAGGGACAACAUGUGGGAUUUGUCUUUUGGGGACUAGCUUAUUUCACUAAGUAUAAUGUUUUCUAGUUAAAUCCAUUUUGUUGCAAAAGACUUCAUUGCAUUUUUUCCUGCUGAAUAGCAUUCCAUAGUGUAUAUAUACCACAGUUACUUUUUUUCAAGAUUUAUUUUUCUGAGAGGCAGAGUUGAGAGAGGGAGAGAUAGAGAACGAGAGGUCUUCCAUCUGAGAAUGAGAGGUCUUCCUUCUGGUUCACUCUCUAAAUGGAUGCAAUGGGUAGAACUGGGCUGAUGUGAAGCCAGGAGUCAGCAGCUUCUUCUGGGUUUUCCACACAGGUGCAAGGGCCCAAGGAUUUGGGCCAUCUUCUACUGUUUUCCUAGGCCUUCAUCAGGGAGCAUCCAGGCUUCGAACAGGCACAACUAUGGGAUGCUGGUGCAUCAAGUAGGAGGCUUAACCCACUUUGUGCUGGCCUCCAUAAUUUCUUUAUCUAAUCGUCAUUUGAUAGACAUCUGGGUUGAUUCCAUAUCUUAGCUGUUGUGAAUUGAGCAGCCAUAAACAUGUGGGUACAGAUAACUCUUUCAUCUGCUGAUUUCAAUUUGUUUAGGUAAAUUCCCAUGAGUGGCAUUGCUGGUUCAUAUGAUUCAUCUAUUUUCAGCCUUUUGAGGUGUCUCCAUACUGUCUUCCACAAUGGCUUCACCAGAUUACAUUCCCAAUGGAUUAGGAAUAGGUUACCUACCUAGAGCACACUUGAGAUCAACACAGGCCCGCUAUUCUAGCCUGGAGACAAGACAGCUGUCACCCACGUUUUUACGCUGCCUGUACGCUUCUGGUGCUGCUGUGCUUGCUGGGAGGGAGAGGAGGGUCCUAGAUGGCUGGCGCUUGCGCAGUCGGCCUGGUGGAGAGCAAGAAGAUGUAUCCGGCGGUGGCGGCAUGUUGUCGGCUGCAGGAGUUGUCGGCUGAUGGCGGCGUUUUCGGCAGAGGUACAGGCCCGGAGAGUGCAGGAGUGAAGACAUCUUCAUGGAUAUGAAACUGGACGCAGAGUUGACGCUGAAGUUCAGCUGCCGAGUCAUCUUCCAUUUCUAGAGACUGCUCGAUUUCCUGCUAAACACACUUGGGGCUUCUUCCUGGAGAGGAGCAACUGACAGAAUUACAGAGAGAGGUAGAGACAGAGAGAGGUCUUGCAUCUGCUGGUUCACUCCAGAGAUGGCUGCAACGGCCGGAGCUGGGCCAAUCUGAAGCCAGGAGCCAGGAGCUUCUUCCAGAUCUCCCACAUGCAUGCAGGGGCCCAAGGAGUUGGGCCAUCUUCUACUGCUUUCCCAGGCCAUAGCAGAGAGCUGGAUUGGAAGAGGAGCAGCUGGGACUAGAAGCAGUGCACAUAUGGAAUGCCACUCCAUGCCAAUGUGUGUCCUGUUGCCAGUGAGGAGUGUGCCUGUGCCUGGCGCUUUGACCCAGAAGUGCACCCGCAGGUGCCGCCACUUCUGCCCUCGAUGCACUGGUGGGAGUCAGAGCCAUGUCUGCUCCUUCCCAGAGCCUUGAGGAGCCGCCUUCAACGCUGGUGGCUGAACCUGAGGAGACCCAGGGCCCCCCCAGGCUCAGGCUGGGAUCAGACUGCACACACAGAGGAGAAAGCAGAAGCUUAGAGAAAUGCCAAGAAUCCCUCAGUGCCCUGUUCCAGCCUGCCCCAAGAUUCUGACACCUCACAGUAAGUACUAGAUAUUUUAUUCUAUUUAAAGAAUGGUUUGCAAAGCAGAGUUCUAGAUGAGGCAGGGGGGGAGAGAUCUUCAGGGUAUGGGUUCACACUGCAGGUGGCUACAAUGGCUGGUGGUGGGCCAUGCCGAAGCUAAAGCCAUGUACUUUAUCUAGUACUCCAGUGUGGGUUCAGGAACCGACGUCCUCGGGAAACUUGAGUUUGUGUAACACACUACCUGUAUAUGUAAAGUGCUUACCCCUUUUAUCACCAUUUAUUUGCUAAACACCGAUAUCACGUAUAAGACUGUGAGCUUGUCCAGGGCAGGACUUUGUCUCUGCUUUCAUUCCUGUAGUCCCUGGUACACAGUUGGAAUUCAGCUUAUGCAGAAUUAACAAUGCACUCACUGUUGGAUCUUGGGACAGGAACUGUUGGUUAUAGAAAGGUCUGUUUACAGCAAUAAUGGUAGGAGGGCCAAGAAGGGAUGUUUAAGAGAAUCAGCAUUAAUGAAGCACUUUCAGUGGUCAGGCUUCUUAAUGUACCAUUGUCUCAUUUCUAAAUAACAACACAAGGAGGGGAAGCAAGAGUUUUAUUUAAUUAUACAACAUUGUCCUGUCUAAUCCUCUUCAAAACUCUGUGAGGAAGGUACCACUGAUACCCUUUUAAAUAUGAGUUAAAGGAAGUGGGAACCAGCCCUAGGCCAUAUAUAGAUAUCAGUGAAGUUCCAGUUUAAAUCCUGCUGUGCUUGCCCCUCCUGGGCUGCAGGGUGUGGGCUAAUGUGAGAGGUGAGUGUGUGAGGAGGGUCCUGGAGGUGCAGUGCAACUUGCCUGCUGGGAGUGUCUCUGCAGGGCCAAAAGCCUUGACCUUUCAGGGUUGCCUGGAUUUCAGCUUGGGCUGUCUGGAGUUGAGAUUCUGAGGGCAGGAGUGUGGUGGGUCUUGCCAGUUCCCGCCUUCCUUCUCUGAGCAAAAA